rnacentral:tRNA from 1 species
GCUAUUGUAGUUUAAAAAACACCGGUCUUGUAAGCCGGAAAUGAGGACUAGACCUCCUAUAGUCUCC